GAUACACAAAGCCGGUGAGUUUCUUUUUUUUUUCCUGAUUAGCUGUGGAAAAUGGGCUGCAUAACUCUCAAAAAAAUGUUCAAUGGACCCCGUCUUGAUCCCAACGUCAAUCCGCUAUAAUAACCUGCUUCCCAUUUCUGAGACGCCACAGAGGCAUUCUUUUGGCCUGUCGGUCCCACUGGACAAACAGGCUCGAUGGGACUCCUCCACCAGCUUGAUCGCAUCCCUGUCCACCAACGGCGAGGGGGAUCGGCACCACGGCAGCCAUCAACCACCUUGCAGCCUCAGCUUCAGACGGCCGCCUCACUCGGUCUCGGAGGCGCGGAACAUGGUCCACCCGGACUCCGUGCCCCCGGGAUGUAGCUGAGGUUCUGCCAGAUUUGGUAGAACCUCCUGCCAGACAUUCUAAACAGACUCUCACAGACCCGCUAGUCACCAGGCGCUCACCAUCGAGCCCCAACUCCGGUGAACCGCCUCCAGGGUGAUGAAGACCGGCGUCUGUUCAUCUUACUCUUAACAGGGUUGAAUUUGACCAAUACUUUGUCCCACCUGGGACCUGUUUACUUUGGUUGACCUUACCAGGGGCAUGAGGUCUCAGGCUUUGCUCAGCGUAUCAAUCCCCUAACAGUCAUGGUUCUGCCGGUCCAGCCCGGGCUGUGCGUGUUCCCGCACAGUCGCACUGAUUAAGAGGCGUACACCUGCGCCUCACGCUGGCUGAUUGACUCCGGUAAAUACAGUACCCAAGGGACGACUGGUGCUCGCCAGAUCGUCGCAACUCAUGCCCCGUUCCUGCACUCCCGUAUCUCUGAUCGUAAACCCAUUUCCCGUGUACCGACUCCUGCCUGCCCGCGGACCUGCUCCCUACGCCCGACGUCCUGACUACCGCUGCCGCACUUGACAGUCUACCCGAUCCCCGACCUUGGAACGAAUAAACAUGUUUCCCAAAAUGCCUCCGCGUCUCCGGAGUCCUGCAUUUGGGUCCUCCUCCGUCUCGAUGGGUCGUGACAGUAACCAUGAUGAGUGGUGAUGACUCAGCACCUUGUCAAGGCCUCUUCCUGUUUGCGAAAUGUGCAAAACUUGGCCUCGGCGGCGCAUUCGCACGGCCUCGGACGUGCACAUCUGGAAGGCCUGGCUCGGAGCUUCGGCGCCGACGGCGCGCCAAAUUCAACAGCCCUCGCGCAUCAUUCCUCUGUCGUCAUGGCGAUCUCAGUGUGCUCGCAACCCGACGGACGGACGCGGCUCGGGGGGGGGGGCGUCAAAACCUUCAACGGCAUCCGUAUCCGGCACUCGUUACGUGUAAUUAGACACGAGCUGAAUAUAAAAUGACAGCAAAUUGCUACUUGUUGUCAGAUUACGUGUCGGAAUACACAAAGUACUGUUAUUACACGUGAAUGACAGCUAAAUCGGGUUUGUCCCUCACGGCGAAGAACUUAUUUUCUUCCGUCAAAAGAAAAGAAAAAAAUCCUAUCAUCUCAGCACGGAUUGUUUUUGCGCAGGUGAGAUGCA